GCAAAACAAAAUAAAUUAAAAGGAAGUUGCAGAAAAGAAUGAGAUGAGAGCGGUGGCUGAGUAUUCGGCAAUCGGAGGGAGAGAGAGGAGAGAGAGAGAGAGAGAGAGAGAGAGAAGAUAUAAUUCUGUUCCAUGAAAUAAGAAAAGGCAUAGAACCCCUAGCAAACAAGAAACAAGAUAAUAAAGGAGGAGGGAAGGAAGAACAACAGAGAAGAAAAAAGAUACUCUAGUAAGAAUUUAUUGUGUGCACAUAUUUUAAAUCUUAAGUUAUGCAAAAAGUUGUGAAAUCGCUGAUGGUCUUUUCUUUAAACAAUGAAAGAAACUUUUCAUUGAAGAGAU